AGGGCAGACGGUGGAUGCCUAGGCUCUCGGAGGCGAUGAAGGACGUGAUAAGCUGCGAUAAGCUGCGGGGAUUGGCACAUACGAAUUGAUCCGCAGAUUUCCGAAUGGGGCAACCCGGCAUGUAGAAGACAUGUCACACCGCAGAGCGGUGAGCGAACGUGGGGAACUGAAACAUCUAAGUACCCAUAGGAGGAGAAAACAAAAGUGAUUCCCUUAGUAGUGGCGAGCGAACGGGGACCAGCCCAAACCAACACUGUUUCGGCAAUGUUGGGGUUAUAGGACUGCAACGUGGACUCAUUAGUUAUAGAAGAACAAACUGGAAAGUUUGACCGUAGAAGGUGAAAGUCCUGUAUUCGAAAUAGCGAAUGUACCUAGCAGUAUCCUGAGUAGCGCGGAACACGAGAAAUUCUGUGUGAAUUAGCGGGGCCCAUCCCGUAAGGCUAAAUACUCCCGAGAGACCGAUAGCGAACCAGUACCGUGAGGGAAAGGUGAAAAGAACCUCGAAUAGAGGAGUGCAAUAGACCCUGAACCCGUCUGCCUACAAGCGGUAGGAGCAGGCUCGUCCUGUGACUGCGUGCCUUUUGCAUAAUGAACCUACGAGUUACUUUGUCUAGCAAGGUUAAGUGACGUUAGUCACGCAGCCGAAGCGAAAGCGAGUCUAAGCGUUGAAAAGCUUUCGGAUGAACUGAGGGUAGGGGUGAAAGGCUAAUCAAACUUGGAGAUAGCUCGUACUCCCCGAAAUGCAUUUAGGUGCAGCCUUAGGAGUUUCUUAUACGAGGUAGAGCGACUGAUUGGAUGCGAGGCUUUCACCGGCUAUCAAGUCCAGACAAACUCCGAAUGCGUAUAAGUAAGAUCCUAGGAGUGAGGGCAUGGGUGCUAAGGUCCGUGUCCGAGAGGAGAAGAAUCCAGACCAUCGGCUAAGGUCCCGAAAUAAUAGCUAAGUUGAACAAACGAAGUCAAGACGCUAAGACAGCUAGGAUGUUGGCUUGGAAGCAGCCAUUCAUUUAAAGAGUGCGUAACAGCUCACUAGUCGAGUGUUUUGGCAUGGAUAAUAAUCGGGCAAAUGUAGGUAUAAGUAACGAUAAAGGAGGUGAGAAACCUCCUCGCCGAAAGACUAAGGUUUCCUGAUCAACGCUAAUCGGAUCAGGGUUAGUCGGGCCCUAAGGGAAAGCCGAACGGCGCACCCGAUGGAUGAACCGGUUAAUAUUCCGGUACUAUUUAUGUGAGCGAUGUGGUGACGGAAGAGUGACAGUCCUGCCGACUGACGGAAUAGUCGGUUAAAGGGUGUAGAUGUAGAUGCUGGUAGGCAAAUCCGCCGGCAGAGUCGAACCUGACAGUACUAGGCGUGCAUGCACAAAUAGAUAUGGACGUAAACAGAUUCCCUAGAAAAACCGCUAAGCAUAUUGCAUGAAUACCCGUACUAAAAAACGGCGGCCGUAACUAUAACGGUCCUAAGGUAGCGAAAUUCCUUGUCGGGUAAGUUCCGACCUGCACGAAUGGUGUAACGAUCUGGGCACUGUCUCAACCGCGAGCUCGGUGAAAUUGUAGUAUCGGUGAAGAUGCCGAUUACCCGCAACGGGACGAAAAGACCCCGUGAACCUUUACUAUAGCUUUACAUUGUAUUUGGGUAACAGAUGUGUAGGAUAGGCCGGAGACUAUGAAGCGGGCACGCCAGUGUUUGUGGAGUCGCUGUUGAAAUACGGCCCUUUUGUUACUUGGGUACUAACUCGCAGAGCGAGGACAGUGUAUGGUGGGUAGUUUGACUGGGGUGGUCGCCUCCAAAAGCGUAACGGAGGCUUCUAAAGGUACCCUCAGACCGAUUGGUAACCGGUCGAAGAGUGUAAUGGCAUAAGGGUGCUUGACUGGGAGACAAACAAGUCGCACAGGUAGGAAACUAGAGCAUAGUGAUCCGGUGGUUCCGUAUGGAAGGGCCAUCGCUCAAAGGAUAAAAGGUACUCCGGGGAUAACAGG
rnacentral:rRNA from 1 species